rnacentral:lncRNA from 1 species
GGUGAUUAUCUCUUUUUUUUAAAGAAAAAUAAAAGAGAAUUGAUUGUAAAAGGAUUAAAAUAAAUAAAAUAGUAAGAAUUAAAUUAAAAGUAUAAUUAAUGAAAGAAAAUAAGUCAGAGAAAUAAUCCAAAAAUUCUAAAUCCACCAUGCAAAGAGAUUUAUUUUCAUCUUUUUUUUUUAUAUUAUAAUAUUUAAUUCUUAUAAUUAAGGUAUUAGUAUAGUUUAUUU